rnacentral:rRNA from 1 species
GACAGAGGUGCCAAGCGUUAGGCGGAAUCACUGGGCUUAAAGCGUGUGUAGGCGGAUCGUUAAGUACCUUGUGAAAUCCCACGGCUCAACCGUGGAACUGCUGGGUAUACUGGCGAUCUUGAGCCACCUAGGGGCGAGCGGAACAAGCGGUGGAGCGGUGAAAUGCGUAGAUAUCAAGUGGAACACCAGUGGCGAAGGCGAGUCCCUGGAAAACUCCUGACACUGAGGCACGAAAGCUAGGGGAGCAAACAGG